GAUGAACGCUGGCGGCGUGCCUAAUACAUGCAAGUCGAGCGAACAGACGAGGAGCUUGCUCCUCUGACGUUAGCGGCGGACGGGUGAAUAACACGUGGAUAACCUACCUAUAAGACUGGUAUAACUUCGGGAAACCGGAGCUAAUACCGUAUAAUAUAUUGAACCGCAUGGUUCAAUAGUGAAAGACGGUUUUGCUGUCACUUAUAGAUGGAUCCGCGCCGCAUUAUCUAGUUGUUAAGGUAACGGCUUACCAAGGCAACGAUGCGUAGCCGACCGGAGAGGGUGAUCGGCCACACUGGAACUGAGACACGGUCCAGACUCCUACGGGAGGCAGCAGUAGGGAAUCUUCCGCAAUGGGCGAAAGCUUGACGGAGCAACGCCGCGUGGGUGAUGAAGGUCUUCGGAUCGUAAAACUCUGUUAUUAGGGAAGAACAAAUGUGUAGGUAACUAUGCACGUCUUGACGGUACCUAAUCAGAAAGCCACGGCUAACUACGUG
rnacentral:rRNA from 1 species